rnacentral:rRNA from 1 species
CCUACGGGAGGCUGCAGUAGGGAAUUUUGCGCAAUGGGGGAAACCCUGACGCAGCAACGCCGCGUGAUCGAUGAAGUCAUUCGGGGUGUAAAGAUCUGUCAGUGGGGACGAAAACUAACGGUACCCACAGAGGAAGCACCGGCGAACUCCGUGCAAGCAGCCGCGGUAAUACGGGGGGUGCAAGCGUUGUCCGGAAUAAUUGGGCGUAAAGAGUGCGUAGGUGGCACGUUAAGUCUGGUGUUAAAGGCGGAAGCUUAACUUCCGUAGGGCACUGGAUACUGGCGAGCUUGAAUGCGGUAGAGGUAAAGGGAAUUCCUGGUGUAGCGGUGAAAUGCGUAGAUAUCAGGAGGAACAUCGGUGGCGUAGGCGCUUUACUGGGCCGUAAUUGACGCUGAGGAACGAAAGUCUGGGUAGCAAAUGGGAUUAGAUACCCUAGUAGUC